rnacentral:rRNA from 1 species
GUGGGGAAUCUUGCGCAAUGGGCGAAAGCCUGACGCAGCCAUGCCGCGUGAAUGAUGAAGGUCUUAGGAUUGUAAAAUUCUUUCACCGGGGACGAUAAUGACGGUACCCGGAGAAGAAGCUCCGGCUAACUUCGUGCCAGCAGCCGCGGUAAUACGAAGGGGGCUAGCGUUGCUCGGAAUUACUGGGCGUAAAGGGCGGGUAGGCGGACAGCUUAGUCAGAGGUGAAAGCCCAGGGCUCAACCUUGGAAUUGCCUUUGAUACUGGCUGUCUUGAGUUUGGGAGAGGUGAGUGGAACUCCGAGUGUAGAGGUGAAAUUCGUAGAUAUUCGGAAGAACACCAGUGGCGAAGGCGACUCACUGGCCCAAUACUGACGCUGAGGCGCGAAAGCGUGGGGAGCAAACAGGAUUAGAUACCCGGGUAGUCC